rnacentral:rRNA from 1 species
CAAGGAAUUUUCGUCAAUGGGGGAAACCCUGAACGAGCAACGCCGCGUGGGCGAAGAAGUCCUUCGGGAUGUAAAGCCCUUUUCCCUGUGAAGAAAGAAAGACGGUAGCAGGGGAAUAAGCAUCGGCUAACUACGUGCCAGCAGCCGCGGUAAUACGUAGGAUGCAAGCGUUGUCCGGAAUUAUUGGGCGUAAAGAGCGCGCAGGCGGUUUUACAAGUCAGAUGUGAAAGAGGCCGGCUUAACCGGCAAGGGUCAUUUGAAACUGUGAGACUAGAGUACAGCAGAGGAUAGCGGAAUUCCCGGUGUAGUGGUGAAAUGCGUAGAUAUCGGGAGGAACACCAGUGGCGAAGGCGGCUAUCUGGGCUGAAACUGACGCUGAGGCGCGAAGGCUAGGGUAGCAAAC